GUAUCUUUGGAGACAUUCAAUAAAAUUGAAACGAUACGGAGAAGAUUAGCAUGGCCCCUGCGCAACGAUGAUAUGCACAAAUCGAGAAAUGAUCCUAAAGUAC